rnacentral:rRNA from 1 species
AGGAAGCAGCAGGCGCGCAAAUUACCCACUCCCGGCACGGGGAGGUAGUGACGAAAAAUAACGAUACGGGACUCAUCCGAGGCCCCGUAAUCGGAAUGAGAACACUUUAAACCCUUUAACGAGUAUCCAUUGGAGGGCAAGUCUGGUGCCAGCAGCCGCGGUAAUUCCAGCUCCAAUAGCGUAUAUUAAAGCUGUUGCGGUUAAAAAGCUCGUAGUUGGACUUGUGUCCCACGCUGUCGGUUCACCGUUCGUCGGUGUUUAACUGGCAUGCUUGUGCGGACGUCCUGCUGGUGGAUGCGGUCGGCCGUGGGCCUCUGGUCUGCGCGUCGGCGGUCCGAUACAAUCCUACCGCGGUGCUCUUCACCGAGUGUCGAGGUGGGCCGGCACGUUUACUUUGAACAAAUUAGAGUGCUUAAAGCAGGCAGUGGCUCGCCUGAAUAUUGUGUGCAUGGAAUAAUGGAAUAGGACCUCGGUUCUAUUUUGUUGGUUUCCGGAACUUGAGGUAAUGAUUAAUAGGGACAGACGGGGGCAUUCGUAUUGCGACGUUAGAGGUGAAAUUCUUGGAUCGUCGCAAGACGAACCUAAGCGAAAGCAUUUGCCAUGAAUGUUUUCAUUAAUCAAGAACGAAAGUUAGAGGUUCGAAGGCGAUCAGAUACCGCCCUAGUUCUAACCAUAAACGAUGCCAGCUGGCGAUCCGCCGAAGUUCCUCCGAUGACUCGGCGGGCAGCUUCCGGGAAACCAAAGCUUUUGGGUUCCGGGGGAAGUAUGGUUGCAAAGCUGAAACUUAAAGGAAUUGACGGAAGGGCACCACCAGGAGUGGAGCCUGCGGCUUAAUUUGACUCAACACGGGAAACCUCACCAGGCCCGGACACCGGAAGGAUUGACAGAUUGAGAGCUCUUUCUUGAUUCGGUGGGUGGUGGUGCAUGGCCGUUCUUAGUUGGUGGA